rnacentral:rRNA from 1 species
GUCCACGCUGUAAACUAUGGAUAUUAGGUAUGGGGAGUAUCGACCCUCUCCGUGCCGAAGCUAACGCAUUAAAUAUCCCGCCUGGGGACUACGGUCGCAAGACUAAAACUCAAAGGAAUUGACGGGGGCCCGCACAAGCAGCGGAGCGUGUGGUUUAAUUCGAUGCAACACGAAGAACCUCACCAAGGUUUGACAUGACGGAAGUAGCGGACCGAAAGGCGAGCGAACUGUUGAAUCAGUAACCGCCACAGGUGCUGCAUGGCUGUCGU